CCCUAUAUUUUGUCACAAAGUGUCUUUAUUUACAAAUCAUGAUGUACAAAUAAAACAAAAACAAAACAUUAGGUUACAAUGAAAAACGACAAACAAAGAACACCACCAGGUUUUGUUCAGUAACUUGUUUAGACAGAUAGAUGUGUAACGGACUCUAACCAGCCCGCUACAAUAAUUAUAAAUAAUUAUAAAUAAAAUGUCUCUGGGUGGUCAAAAGUACAUGCAGUGGAGUCGUGGACGUUAAUCUGUCACCACUUUAUUGCACCUGCAACACAGCAGUAAUGGGCGAUUACACACAAGGGUAGCAAUGCUGGUAUCCCUUUCAGACUUCCAGAGCAUGCUGUAACUUCAGCCUACCACCCGCAGCGCAAUGGGCAAGAUGAGCGCUCAAACCAGAACAUUAAGCGGCAUCUUGCAAAGUACUGUAAUGAGGAGCGGAAUGACUGGGACGUCUAUCUGCAACACGCUGUUUAUUCGAUAAACACCUCGAAGCAGCGUUCCACAAAGGUGAGCCCAUAUUUUGCAAUUUAUCGGGUUCAUCACGGCAGCAGCGCCGAUCCAAAGGUAGAUGACUUUGAGAUCGCGAACAGUGAAGAGACGCUGCAGAGGAACGUUGGGCUGGACCGUUUAAGGUGGAGUCCAUGACAGCCAAAAGAGUGUCCAGAUUGGUUGACAGGUUGAAUGUUCGCCAUUUGAAGCCAUAUGUUCGUCGAACAGACACGCCCAAAGAUGUCGGCAUCGCUUCUGAUGUCCAGGAAUUGAGUGUAUUGUGCGACAUCUCGAUGGAAGCUGUAGGUGCUGAAUGUGCAGAUGUUGAUCACACAUUGGAAGUUGUCGUGCCACGUUUCGCGACUUAGACAGUCUGGCAGGCCCAGAGUUCAACUGGCUGACCGAUGAUAUUGUGAAUACGUGCGUUGCAGUGAUUGCUGCAGAUCACAAACAACGUUCCACUGACAAAGCCGUGUUCCACGCCCUUACCACAGACGCAUACACGUUGUGGUGUCGUGACUGGACAGCACAUAGUUGUGUUACGGAAAGAACUUUAAGCUGUAUCAAUGGCAUUAAGCCAGAUGGCGUGGUGCUACUGCCCCGUCUCGUUGGUCUGCGUUAAAAUAAAGCUUUACAGGUUUGGUCAGCGGACACCUGGGGUUAAAUGCGUUGUACUGUAGCUUUACAGGUUCGGUUAGAUAAGGUAAAGUUGUGCCCUGCUGCUGGCGUUCCCUAGUCAAUGCCAGUCACUUGGAGUUAGACAUGCCUUGCUUCUGUCACCGGUCACAUGGGUUAGACUUUGUCUUACAGGUGUGGUUAGCGCACACCUGGGGUUAGAAAGAUGUGCCUUGUUUUUACUGUCUUACAGGUGUGGUCAGCGAGCAGUGCGUGCGUUGCGCUUGUAGGAAGUCCUUUACGGUUCCCAAGUGCGGCGUGCUAUCUGUCAGCGCACACCUGGGGUUAGACGUGAGUCACAGGUUGUAUUUACUGUUUUUUGUAAGGGGACAGGUAAGUUUGGUUCUCUCUCCAUUUUCCCCUUUAAAUGUAUGUUAUAUGUAUACCAUGUUCUAUGUAUGUCCCUGUGAAGUUUGUAUGUCUGUCACAUAUGUCUGUUAUACACAUUUGUUAUUUAAAAGUAUCUAAGCAUCCUUUUCUUUUUCAUUAACCUUGU
ensembl:lncRNA